UGUAAAUUAUCACAUUGAAAAUGUUCGGUUUUAGUUAAAACGUUGCAUAAUCAGUAUUUCUUAUGUGUCAUUUCCUUGAUGUUACGCUGGCAGAGUCAGCAUUUUUUUUUCAUUUUUAGGUUAUAUAAGUGAUAGGUUAUAGGUUACAACCAUAUAAAUCGAAUGCAAAAGGCACCUCACUACAAUCAGUUUUGAGACGCAGUUCUCACAUCACAUCGCAGAGGCAGAUAACUCAAACCAUGCACUUCGGACGUUUCAUUUUCGUCCUUCUUCUGGCUAUGGCUCUCAUCCUCGGAGCUGCCAAGGCUUUGCCUGUGGAAAACAACUCAAAUGUGGACACCUCGGAAGAACUUCCUUCGCGCAAGCAUUAUAUUUGUGCUCUUCGACGCGUGAAGCUCUGCCCUGAUGGACGAAUACCAAUACGCGGGAGAUGUGGUCGAGACCGCCGAGGGAGAACUCAGAUAAAUACAGAGACGAAAGCAGAGACUACGGACAAGUAUACAAAAAUAUGUGAAUGCAGCUGGCAGUAACCCAUAUAAAGAAGCAAAUUCCUUUGGAUAGACGGGAUAGAGGCACACAUAAUAUUUGAUUUCUGUAUUUAAUGGACAUAUUAAAUACGUGUGUAUUUUCAAGA